CAGCAGCCGCGGUAAUACGAAGGGGGCUAGCGUUGCGCGGAAUCACUGGGCGUAAAGGGCGCGUAGGCGGACGCUUAAGUCGGGGGUGAAAGCCCAGGGCUCAACCCUGGAAUAGCCUUCGAUACUGAGAGUCUUGAGUUCGGAAGAGGUUGGUGGAAUUGCGAGUGUAGAGGUGAAAUUCGUAGAUAUUCGCAAGAACACCAGUGGCGAAGGCGGCCAACUGGUCCGAUACUGACGCUGAGGCGCGAAAGCGUGGGGAGCA
rnacentral:rRNA from 1 species